rnacentral:piRNA from 1 species
GAAUCUGGGCAAGGCAAAGUUCUUC